UAACACGUGCAAGUCGAACGAGAAAGCCCUUCGGGGUGAUUAAAGUGGCGCACGGGUGAGUAAUGAAUAGGAACGUACCUUUAGGUGGGGAAUAACCACGGGAAACUGUGGCUAAUACCGCAUGAGAUCGUAAGAUGAAAGAGGGCCUAUACUUGUAUGCUCUCGCCUAUAGAUCGGCCUAUUUUCCAUUAGCUUGUUGGUAGGGUAAAAGCCUACCAAGGCGACGAUGGAUAGCUGUUCUUAGAGGAAGAUCAGCCACACUGGAACUGAGAUACGGUCCAGACUCCUACGGGAGGCAGCAGUGGGGAAUCUUGCACAAUGGACGCAAGUCUGAUGCAGCGAUGCCGCGUGAGUGAAGAAGGCUCUUGGGUCGUAAAGCUCUUUUAAGAGGGAAGAAAAGGUUGUUUAUUAAUACUAGACAGCAUUGACGGUACCUUUAGAAUAAGCACCGGCUAAUUCCGUGCCAGCAGCCGCGGUAAUACGGAAGGUGCAAGCGUUAUUCGGAAUAACUGGGCGUAAAGCGCACGUAGACGGGUUCAUAAGUCGGAUGUGAAAUCCCCAAGCUUAACUUGGGAACUGCAUUCGAAACUGUAGAUCUUGAAUGCUUCAGAGGUUGGUGAAAUUUCAGGUGUAGGAGUGAAAUCCGUAGAUAUCUGAAGGAACACCGGUGGCGAAGGCGGCCAACUGGGGAUGCAUUGACGUUGAGGUGCGAAAGCGUGGGGAGCAAACAGGAUUAGAUACCCUGGUAGUCCACGCUGUAAACGAUGGAUACUAGGUAUUUGGGAUAUUAACCUCCUGAGUACUGGAGCUAACGCAUUAAGUAUCCCGCCUGGGGAGUACGGUCGCAAGGCUAAAACUCAAAGGAAUUGACGGGGGCCCGCACAAGCGGUGGAGUAUGUGGUUUAAUUCGAAGCAACGCGCAGAACCUUACCUACCCUUAACAUUCAGCGACCGCUACAGAGAUGUAGUUUUCUCUUCGGAGACGCUGGGAUAGGUGCUGCAUGGCUGUCGUCAGCUCGUGUCGUAAGAUGUUUGGUUAAGUCCACUAACGAGCGCAACCCUUGUCCUUAGUUACCAUCAUUAAGUUGGGGACUCUAAGGAGACUGCCGGUGUUAAACCGGAGGAAGGCGGGGACGACGUCAAGUCCUCAUGGCCCUUAUGGGUAGGGCUACACACGUACUACAAUGGUAGAAACAAACCGUCGCGAAACUGUGAAGUUAAGCUAAUCGGUAAAACACUACCUCAGUUCGGAUUGAAGUCUGCAACUCGACUUCAUGAAGGUGGAAUCGCUAGUAAUCGCUGAUCAGCAAGCAGCGGUGAAUACGUUCCCGGGCCUUGUACACACCGCCCGUCACACCACGAAAAUCGUCAAGACCAGAAGUGGAUUGGUUAACCCUCACGGGAGGCCUGCUACCAAGGUUUUGGUGGUGAUUGGGGUG
rnacentral:rRNA from 1 species